rnacentral:lncRNA from 1 species
CUGAUACUAUUCCAUUGAUUCCGGAAGAACUAAGCACUGCAACCCAUCAAUACAAUACUAGGUGCUUUUAGUGGUGCCAUAUCAAAUAGAGCAAAUUUAAUUUCCUCAUUCUACACAGGGUUCUGUAACUAAGCCAAAUCAGUAUCGUGACUAGAAGGGAAAUGCCCCCUAAUCGGAAACCUCUCCAAUAUUGUACCUUUAGCAAAGUAAAGGUUAUGAAAAAAAUAACGGCUUCGUCCUUUUAACUUUUCCUCGUCAAAGCACCACUCCCCAUCUUCAUUUUUUAAAGCCCUGAUGUGGUUACGCCUUCGACAAUUCAUAGUUUUACUAUGAAAAAAAUUUGUAUUACGAUCACCCCCAUUGAAUCCAUUCAGCUCUAUACUUCUGUUUCCAAAGAAAUUCUUCUAGGUUUGGAAUCUCGUUGAAAUCUGCUCGCAAGUGCCACUCCAAAUCAACAAAGAAAGCAGUACGAUUUUGCUCUAAUGAUCUUUGAACCCCAGCUAAAUGAGCCAUAACUGUAUUCUUUCUCCACUUUAGAUUGUCAAAAAUAGUCUUAUUCUAUUUCUUUACAGCACUAGUAAAAUUCCAAACCAUCUUCAACAUAGAAUCAUUAGACUUCUAUUCGUUCCAAACUAAAUCAUGGAAAGAUGCAUCUGAAAGCCAACCAGCAGAAGACCUAAAUGGUCUUUCUCGACCACGAACUGUAUUUUUAUCCACAGAGAUAAGAACGAG